rnacentral:rRNA from 1 species
AUUGAACGCUGGCGGCAUGCCUUACAUAUGCAAGUCGAACGGCAGCACGGGAGCAAUCCUGGUGGCGAGUGGCGAACGGGUGAGUAAUAUAUCGGAACGUGCCCAGUCGUGGGGGAUAACGUAGCGAAAGCUACGCUAAUACGCAUACGAUCUAUGGAUGAAAGACGGGGGAGUCGCAAGACCUCGCGCGAUUGGAGCGGCCGAUAUCAGAUUAGGUAGUUGGUGGGGUAAAAGGACCUACCAAGCCUUCGAUCUGUAGCUGGUCUGAGAGGACGACCAGCCACACUGGAACUGAGACACGGUCCAGACUCCUACGGGAGGCAGCAGUGGGGAAUUUUGGACAAUGGGCGGCAAGCCUGAUCCAGCAAUGCCGCGUGCAGGAUGAAGGCC